AUCCGGUGGCUGACGAGUCCCAAACAGGACGAAAUGCGCAUUCUGGAU
rfam:Trichobilharzia regenti genome assembly, scaffold: TRE_scaffold0012621